rnacentral:rRNA from 1 species
UGGGGAAUAUUGGACAAUGGGUGAAAGCCUGAUCCAGCCAUGCCGCGUGUGUGAAGAAGGCCUUUUGGUUGUAAAGCACUUUAAGCGAGGAGGAGGCUACUUAGAUUAAUACUCUAGGAUAGUGGACGUUACUCGCAGAAUAAGCACCGGCUAACUCUGUGCCAGCAGCCGCGGUAAUACAGAGGGUGCGAGCGUUAAUCGGAUUUACUGGGCGUAAAGCGUGCGUAGGCGGCUUUUUAAGUCGGAUGUGAAAUCCCUGAGCUUAACUUAGGAAUUGCAUUCGAUACUGGGAAGCUAGAGUAUGGGAGAGGAUGGUAGAAUUCCAGGUGUAGCGGUGAAAUGCGUAGAGAUCUGGAGGAAUACCGAUGGCGAAGGCAGCCAUCUGGCCUAAUACUGACGCUGAGGUACGAAAGCAUGGGGAGCAAACAGG